rnacentral:rRNA from 1 species
AGCAGCCGCGGUAAUUCCAGCUCCAAUAGCGUAUAUUAAAGUUGUUGCAGUUAAAAAGCUCGUAGUUGAAUUUCGGGAUUAGUAGGUUGGUCGUGCCUCUGGUAUGUACUCGCCUUACUGGUUCCUCCUUCUUGAAGAACUGUAAUGCCAUUAAUUUGGUGUUGCAGGGAAACAGGACUGUUACUUUGAAAAAAUUAGAGUGUUUAAAGCAGGCCAAUGCCUGAAUACAUUAGCAUGGAAUAAUGAAAUAGGACGUUGAUCCUAUUUUGUUGGUUUCUAGGAUUGACGUAAUGAUUAAUAGGGAUAGUUGGGGGCAUUAGUAUUCAAUUGUCAGAGGUGAAAUUCUUGGAUUUAUUGAAGACUAACUACUGCGAAAGCAUUUGCCAAGGAUGUUUUCAUUAAUCAAGAACGAAAGUUAGGGGAUCGAAGACGAUCAGAUACCGUCGUAGUCUUAACCAUAAACUAUGCCGACUAGGGAUCGGAUGAUGUUAAUUUUUAAUGACUCAUUC